GACGAACGCUGGCGGCGUGCUUAACACAUGCAAGUCGAACGGAAAGGCCUUUUCGGAGGUACUCGAGUGGCGGACGGGUGAGUAACACGUGGGUGAUCUGCCCUGCACUCUGGGAUAAGCCUGGGAAACUGGGUCUAAUACCGGAUAGGACCGCACUUUAGUGUGUGUGGUGGAAAGUUUUUUCGGUGUAGGAUGAGCCCGCGGCCUAUCAGCUUGUUGGUGGGGUAAUGGCCUACCAAGGCGGCGACGGGUAGCCGGACUGAGAGGUUGGUCGGCCACAUUGGGACUGAGAUACGGCCCAGACUCCUACGGGAGGCAGCAGUGGGGAAGAUUGCACAAUGGGCGCAAGCCUGAUGCAGCGACGCCGCGGGGGGGAUGACGGCCUUCGGGUUGUAAACUCCUUUCGCCAGGGACGAAGCGUUUUGUGACGGUACCUGGAGAAGAAGCACCGGCUAACUACGUG
rnacentral:rRNA from 1 species